GCUUCUGACUGGAAACUACUCCUGACAUAUCCCUCUCUCAGGCACCCACUGACAAAGGCACUUGCCAGAUUUUAAAGACCUACUGGAAGGAAAAAUACAUGGUAGAGGUGUUUCAGCAGUUUGGGUAGAAGCUGGUUUCAGAAUACAUUAUUGAAUGACACUAGAUGGCAGAGCAGCUGUUUUGAAUUAGUUAAAAUGACAUCUUCUGGAGUGGGUUGCUGCCAUUUUAUUUUAUGAUAUUACAGCUUGAAAUGGUGUUGACAUAUAUCUAUGCUGGCUUUUGAUUUUAAUGAAUUUAUUGGCUAUAGGCUGAAGUCAAAAGUGUAAGAGGAUCAAAAUGAAUUUUUUAAUAUAGUCCAAGGGUGACAAAAGACUAAAAGCGGGGAACAGAAAGUACCGUCCAGCAGCCAUUUGGCUACGUCAGCUGAAUCUCUGUUCCUUUGACAAAGGAGUAUAUGAAAGUCUGGGGUCUAAGAGAAUCUGUUGAAUUAGGGAACUGGAAGAUUCUGGACAAGACCAUGAAAGAAAAGAUCAGAGCACUACAGAAGGAUGCAAGAAGUUUGGGAUUAAAAACACAGAGUGCUGAGUCUGGGCUUCAUGACACAGAGAGUGGUUCCACCUGCUCCCAUGGCCCGGACAAGGCCAUGUGCCCCAGCUGUGGGAGCCCUCCGAGCCUGAUGGGGGUCUUGUCUCAGCACUACUUGCAUGGACUUCUAUGGACCUUUUGCUGGCAGCACCUUCUCACCAUUACUACUGCCAGCAGGCUGGUUUUCACCUCAUAGUUAUCAUCCUGAAGGGCAACUUUUCCUUGCACAAAUCCAUAUCAAGCCUAAGGCACUUGUCCACCAUGGCCUGUGGAAGGGUGAGUGUGAUGUGGCUGUUUUCACCCUCCGUAUCCCAAAGAUGCAUGAUCUAUGCUAACAUAACCAAUUGCUCACCCAACAUAGCUUAAAACUGUUCACCUACAAACACUGAAGUUUUACAGGAGUCCUCAUAGGGAUGAGAUCAGUAUUAAUCCAUCAUUACUUCCAUCAGACACAAGGCAGAAAGUCUUGACUACAAGGAACCAGAGAUAUGACGAGGAGCAGAGACUCCCAGAUCCCUGCCCUACCCACUGAACCAUGCUGCUCAGUCAUCAUGUUGCAAAUCCCAAUCAAAGGUGGAGCAUGUUUUUUACAGCCACAAGGCAGAAGGCAGACUUUUAUAGCAAAAUGCAAUUCAUUUCCAUAUCUCCCUCAAAUCCAGCUGACCUGGAAGUGUUCAACAGAGCCAUGUAGGUAGCUCAAACAAUUUUCCUUCAGGAUGACAAAAAGCAAUUCAGACAGCCUUGCGCCCCCUUUCUUUCUCCUUCCUUCACAGAGCCAAGUGAGAGUCUUUUACUGAAAUGAGUGUUUGCAAGUAUAAAUUUCAGAAAUGCACCAUUACGUCCCAGAAGACAUAGAAAUAAAAUGUGAACAAGACCACAUUUACAACACUGUACUAUGAGAUGAGGUUUGCCAGGGCCCUUCUGAUGUUUUUGGGUCAGCUGGAACAUGAGCCAGAGUGCAAAGGAGAGAACAAUUUUCAGAGGAUAAUUGCUGUCCUUUGGUUCCAUGCAUGGGGUUAGGGUCAUCACUCUCUUCCCUACCAAGUGCUGCUGCUGGCAGAACAAAGGACAUACUUUGCUGCCAGAACAGAUUGCAGACACACAUCAGUAAACACAAGCUGUAAACACCACUUCACACCUCUGCAAACUGGACAAAGCCCAUGAAGAGAGCUGAAAUAAUGAACCAAUGAUUUCAGAGAGAUGCUGGCAUGGAAGUUGCUAUGGAAGCAAAAAGAAAUAUUUUUAGAUUGUUCUUGCGUCACAUAUUCUCCCACACAGAAACUCCCAUUCCCUCAAAUUACCUUUAGUGAGGAGUGAAAGAUGAGCAUCUCUUCACUUCAUAAUCCAUUUUGCCUGUUUCCUGAGCUGGUAGUGAGCCCAUGUUGGACUCACACUGCAGGCCCCCAAGAACCUGAAAGUUAUUAAAGGACAAAAAAACGUAUGUGGCUGCUCUCAGAGAAGGCAUGAUUUUUUUUUUUUGUGCUUUAAAAACCAUGGCUAAUUUCUGUGCACUCCUGUAAUGAACAUUCAUUUGUUUCUUUCUUCUGAAAGUGCAGCUGACAUGAUAUUAACUCAGAUAUACAAGAAAAAAUGAAAAAAAAAAAGAAAAGUACAUUAGUUAAGUUAAAUGCAUUAUGCAGAAAACAUAAACAGCCACAUGUUUGUGCAUAACUGGAUGGCUCCCUAGGGAGUAAUUAGCAUUUUGGCAGAGUAGCUUGCAACUAUUUCUGUUCUUCUACCAGAGAAAUUUCAUGGGGAGAAGCCUGUUUUGGUUACUAAAAACCAACUUAUUUUAUAUUAUUUUAGUAUAGCUACAUUUCAAGGUAGAUAAGCCAGCCAACUUUGAUAUUAUCUAUCUACCAGUGACCUCCUCCCUCAUAUUCUCUUGCCAGUUUUAAUGACAGUUUUAAGAUAAAAUAUGAACCGGAAAGAAAGAAUACUGCUCAUGGAUGGUCUUUCUGAAGUGUAGCUCCAUUUUUGCAAAUCUACAUUUUUAAGCAAACAUAUUAUUUUCCCCGUAAUUUUGUCAUGCAAUAAAAUUGAUUCAAAGUAGCAUUAGGGAAAACACUCUUUCAGGACUGGCAGAUAUCUUACUCAGAGGAAAGGACUCCUAUAAUAUCUACAAGCCAACAGGCUUUGGGGCUGUACAAAGACCUACACAGAAUUGCCAGGCUGCAGAUAAGGAUCACUUUCACAGAGCCUCUUCAACAAGUCACAGGAUGGUGGGGAGAGCGCCUGAGAUGUCCGGUUUGCACAAGUUCCUCUUUAUAGUCACGCUAAGAAAUGCUACCCCUCAGAUAAGACUUCCCACAGCAGACAUUUCUUCCUAGAUCCAGUGCAGUGUGUUAAGAAAGUGCCAACAAGCACCCCGAUGCAGCUGGGGAGAAAGCAAAGAUGCUGAAGCGGAACACAGGCACCUGCAAUUUCUGUAUUUCUUAAGAGCUUGAGAAGGCUCCCAACAGCCUUUCCAUACCAACAGAAGUACCACCACCCACCCUGCCCACAGCAGUGAGAAACACCAGAGCAGCAGGCUGGAAAUGGAGGAUUUGCUCCAGCAGCAAACAGGCUGCACUGAAGGAAACCCAUCGGUAGAAGGAAGCAGCUCUGUGAUGAGAGACAAGCAAGGUUCAGGAAGAGAGCUGCUGAUAGAUGCCCAGUGAGACCAGUCUUAUCCAUUCAUCUGUCAGGAGACUUCAGUUGUUUACCAAGGCCUCAUCCUCAUUGUGUCAACCAAUGUGUUUUAUUAAUAGGGUGAAUUAGCUUGCAGCUCUUAAUAAAUUACUGGCUGACAUCAUGUUUUGACUGCUUUUGAUUUGAUAUAAGGAGAGAGAUGCAACAGUAAUCACCAAAAGGAGUAGAUAUCGCUAUCCAUCACAUGACAGGGUGAUUAACGGAACUGCUUUGAACUCUGCCAGUUAGUCCUAACCAGGAAACAGAAAAGCAGCUUCUCUCUGCAACACUCACAGAGACACACCUUCUCUAGAGCUGCCUAUAUGGAUGAGGGGAAGGAGACCUGACAUGGCCUCCAUCACUGAGAGGAGGGAAAACGAAUGGGCUCCACCUCAACAUCAAAGAUGCAAAAGGGAGCAGAAGUCCUUAAAGCUUUCUUCUACCUCAGCAGGAAGAAUAAAUGUUUAGAGAAGGGUGGUUUGGUCCUGCCACCCCUCAUACUUUACAACUCUGAAGCAUGCUGUACAAAUAUGAGGCUAAACUUUUUGAAUGCAAAUGACUUCCAGUUUGAAAGCAGGGUUCAGGAUUACCUAUAAGGUACAUGCUGCCUCUUCAGGGACAAUCUGCUAAAGCACGUGAGAAGUGAAACACACAGAAAGCUUUUCACAGCCUCUACCUGCAGAUUACUGAAAAUGUGUUCCUCUGCUCAAGCCCCCAUCUUCAACAAACUGUGUGCUGUCUCAAGUUCUAAUGAUUAUACCUUCCCCCAGUGUUUUAUAAACUUUAAACAAUAUUUUCUCUUCUGAUUACGCUUUAAAGCAGAGCUAGAUCCCCUUUUUGCAGUUCAGGAAAAGCCUACUGCCUUGUUGUCACUGGUUUGGGACAGGCAGUGUUCCCACCAGGCUAAGCUAUGUCUGAAAUAAAUAUCCAACAGACCAUCUCAACUCACUGAAGGGGGAAAGCAUGAAACCCAGGUGGACAAAAAUGAUUUGUCUGUAGCAACAAGUGUCCCUUGAGACAGCAAUUAUAAGUCUAUAACCAAGACAGGGUAAUGAGAAAGGUAAUUCUAGACUAGUUGGUAGGCCAGUGGGAGGGGGACAAGAAACAAAAAGCUACCAAAGGUGGUUCUGCAGCAUGACAAGUUGGGUUUGGGUGCUGGGAACAGCUAGGGUCUGCAGCAGUGAGACUGAUCUGGAGAACAAAUAGAUUCAAAUGAAUGGUUUAGCAGUGACUGGCAAGUAAGCACCCAGAAAAAAACAUCAAAACUCUCAAAAAGUUUGCAGCAGCAAAGAACAUCUGUGACUACAGCAAGUGACGAUGUUUUGUUCUGCAGGGACACCUGGGUUGGGCAAGGGCCACUGGGGUGAUUAAUCAGGUGAGAAACUUAAUCUACCUACUUAGGCCAUGGAAGCUAGGAACACUGUAGUACUGCCAAGGAUAGUAUUUCUGGGUAAAGUGUUUGUUCAACUCAGAAAAAGGCUGCAUUGUUCUAGAAAUAAAGAGCAUGUUGUCCAGAUUUCCAUUGUAGUACCUUGCUAUACCUUUCUCACAACCACAUCACAGAAGCAAAAAUCCUGCCUGGGAGGUGUUUGUCCUUUAAACACCCCAGGAAGAAAGGGAGGAUCCCCUUCAGACACAGGAUGUGAGAAAGAGCAGAAAAUAGUGCAGCAGUAUCCAUUCCUGAGGCUGAGUCUUUGCCUCCCUGGGAAGGUGUUUGUGCUGGCAAGAGGCAAGAAGAUCAUUGCAGAUAAUUAAAACAGGACACGGGUUUGCAUCUGCUAACCACAUCAUGCCCAUUUACUCAGUUCCUUCUGCCUUUCUCACUUAGUGCAAGCAGGACAAUGCCCCAACAAAACUGCCCUGAAUGAAGAAGCAUAGCACAGAGGAAGCCACUGUGGGCACAGAUAGUCAUCUGUUACCUGUGUUUCCAGUACAAGCCCUGCAGUUCUGCCAUCAAAGGACAAGAGUGUGAUGAUGUGGGAGGUACUCAGGGCUCUGCCUGUGCUCAGCUGGCCCAUGGUCACCCAGGGACAGCGUGCAUUGUAGCAGUAAUGGCAAAGGGGUAGGACAGCAAACUAAGGACUCCAAAUAAUUCUACUUUUAUUACAUUAUUUUAAACAACGUUGUGCUUCAAACAGGCUUUAAGAGACAGCUGAAGAAUGUUGGUAGAAGAAAUAAGGCUGCAAUAUUUAUUGUACAAAGCAUUUUAGCAGAGCAAGAUCAGCUGUGCCAGUGCAGACAGAAAAGAAAGAAGAUAGCCAGACAUCAGAACAGUGAAUUUUUGGCUUAAAAUGAUGGUCAUUGUUUUCUUUGCUUACUGCUAACUCUCUUCCCAGCUAGCUCUGUGAUAAUUGCUUUUUCUAUUCACCUCAUCAGUCACUGUAUAGUAGGUAUUAUAAGAAAUAUAACUGUCCACAGUGGAA